CGACUACGGGCUGAUUAAGCCGCCGCGCAGUGGUGAUGCGCGUUAUGCGGUACUGUUUCACGGCACAUCGCGCGCAUCGAAAGAAUGGCGUGAGGUCGACUGGAUCGGUGCCGGCAAAUGGCUGCACGCGCAGGGCCUUGAGGUUGUGCUGCCGUGGGGCAAUGAGCGCGAGCGGUCGCGCUCUGAGCGGCUUGCUCAAG
rnacentral:misc_RNA from 1 species